rnacentral:misc_RNA from 1 species
AACUUUUGACAAUGGAUCACUUGGCUCUCGCAUCGAUGAAGAACGCAGCGAAAUGCGAGAAGUAAUGUGAAUUGCAGAAUUCAGGGAAUCAUCGAAUCUUUGAACGCAUCUUGCGCUCCUUGGUAUUCCGAGUAGCAUGCCUGUUUGAGUGUCAUAUGACUUCUCUCAACCACAUCGUCUUUUCGAUUGUGGCUUGUAUGUGGGGGGAUUUGCAGGCUAACUAACUGACAAGCCGGCUCCCCUGAAAUGCAUUAGUGGUAAUCUGAGCUGCUAUUGGUGUGAUAAUUUAUCUAUGCCUUUGGUACAGGACUGCUUAUAAACAACACAAAAAAUCAUUUGACAAAUUUGACCUCAAAUCAGGUAGGACUACCCGCUGAACUUAAGCAUAUCAAUAAGCGGAGGCU